rnacentral:misc_RNA from 1 species
AACUUGUAACAAUGUGUCUCGUGGCUCUCGCGUCGAUGAAGAACGCAGCGAAAUGCGAUAAGUAAUGUGAAUUGCAGAAUUCAGUGAAUCAUCGAAUCUUUGAACGCACCUUGCACCCUUUGGCAUUCCGAAGGAUAUGCUCGUUUGAGUGUCAUUGUACUCUCACACUCCCAAUCCCUUUGGAUUGUGAGCGGUGGACUUGGGUGUUGCCGCUUGACUGAGGCUCACCUGAAAUAUGUUAGUGCAUCUCUUGAUUGGACAUAGUACGGCGUGAUAAGUGUCUUCGCCGGCUCCUCGCAAAGAGGGUGGCCGAUCGGGAGCUCUGUUGCUUCAAACUGUCUUCGGACAAUCUUCUGACAACUUGACCUCAAAUCGAGUAGGACUACCCGCUGAACUUAAGCAUAUCAAUAAGCGGAGGCU